CCCAAUCCAUAGCCUUUAGAUCUCAGCCAUUGAUUGAAUUAAUCCAACAACUGAGAUUAAAGGAUCUCCUCCUUUCCUUUUAAAACCUAAAAUCAACCCCCCUAACCCUAAUUCCCCAAAACUGUUGCCUCCCUCAAGCUCUCUCUCUAACUUUUCUCUUUCCCUCCCUCUCUUCCUCUUCUCUCUCCGUCAGCAAACUACCCAUCGUUAACAGUCAGCCCUCACCCUUCGUCCUUUUUUUUUCGACGAACCAACGCCAUCACCGGCGUCGUCACCAGCAAAACAGGUGUGUCACUGCCUCCUGCUCAGUCGCUGCCCGCCAGAGAACGCCUACGCCACACCAGCCAUGGACUCCGACGCCAUCCAUGGCGCCACGCCCCUCCUUCAUCAGCACCAGAUCUGCCUCCCUCCGUUCAACCCUUCACGCCGCCAGCGACAACAUCAACGACACCAGCCCAUCCUCCGAUGAGCCAUGCCUCCAUACCGUCAUCAACAGCCUCCUCUACCCGCUCUAGAAAAUAUAUGUUCUUGAUGGAUUCUCAAGAAUCCGUCCGAGAUGGAACCUGAUUAUAACUGCCAAUGUCAACGAAAUAUUGAUAAUAGAAUGGGUGAUGCUGAGAUUGAAGAUGCGGAUGAUGAGUUGUAGAUUUUGUAUUUUCUAUGUUUUAUAGUUUAGAUUUGGAACCUCUAUAAAUUUUGUAAAUAAUUUGAUUUUUAAUGUUUGUAUUCUUAUGGUGGUUGGUUGAUUGUAUAUUAAAUGUUUGGUAGGUUGUAUUAUAAAUAAUUUGAUUUGAUUUUUAAUGAU